AUUGAACGCUGGCGGCAUGCCUUACACAUGCAAGUCGAACGGCAGCACGGGGCAACCUGGUGGCGAGUGGCGAACGGGUGAGUAAUGCAUCGGAACGUGCCAUUGAGUGGGGGAUAACGUAGCGAAAGUUGCGCUAAUACCGCAUAUUCUGUGAGCAGGAAAGCAGGGGACCGCAAGGCCUUGCGCUCUUUGAGCGGCCGAUGUCAGAUUAGCUAGUUGGUGAGGUAACGGCUUACCAAGGCGACGAUCUGUAGCGGGUCUGAGAGGAUGAU
rnacentral:rRNA from 1 species